AAGGGUUCUAGCAAAUGUUUAAAAAGUUUUAAUAUUAACCAUGUUACAGAAAGUCCUUACUGUCCACAGGAUCAAACUAUUGUGGAACACCAUCAAAUACUUGGUGAUUUUAAAAGUAAAAAGUAUUAUAUGCACCCAUCUAAAUGCUCACAUACUCUGCUGCAUUUAGCUAUGCUAACUUAAAUCUUUAAAAUAAUGUUCACUUUAAAGGAAAAUGUUUUUUCUGCUUCCCAACAGCAAUUUUCCUGAAGACAUAACCUAAAAUAAAAGCUAACUAAACGGAAAGAGCCCAAUGUUCCCGUGACAUCGAGUCAAGGUUAUGCUUGUGUCUUUCCAGAAUGCAUGAAGGUCCAGAUGGUUCCUGAUCUAAUGCAUCCAGCCAAGACACCCAGAGACCACAGGGCAAACGAGUCAUCUGAAGCUCCUGUUUAAAGACAAAGCAAAACAGUUCACCUCAGUACAAGGACAAUCAAACUUGUUUUCAGAGGACACAUUCCUGUAUGGCAGACAUGGUCCAAGGUCUCACAGACAAGUUAAAGAAACUUGGCAAAACCGCCAUCUUAUUUCCGCUUCAAGUCAGACAGCUUGGGUUCUCAAGAUGCCAUAGAAGGGUCUGGUUCCUCACCUGGCUCUGUCAGAGGCCUCAGCUGUGCCAGUGAAGCGCUCCCCCUAGCAGCCCAGUGGUGUGGUCUGCUUCCGCCAGAG